AAAUUUGUCUAGCUUAGUUGGUAAAAUACAAGGCUCUUAACCUUGUGGUCGUGGGUUCGAGCCCUACAUCCUGAUUUU
rnacentral:tRNA from 7 species